rnacentral:rRNA from 1 species
AGUGAACGCUGGCGGUAGGCCUAACACAUGCAAGUCGAACGGCAGCACAGUAAGAGCUUGCUCUUAUGGGUGGCGAGUGGCGGACGGGUGAGGAAUACAUCGGAAUCUACUUUUUCGUGGGGGAUAACGUAGGGAAACUUAAGCUAAUACCGCAUACGACCUACGGGUGAAAGCAGUGGAUCUUCGGACCUUGUGCGAUUGAACGAGCCGAUGUGGGAUUAGCUAGUUGGCGGGGUAAAGGCCCACCUAGGCGACGAUCCGUAGCUGGUCUGAGAGGAUGGUCGGCGACCCUGGAGCGGAGACGGGGUCCAGGCUCCUGAGGUAGGCAGCAGUGGGGAAUAUUGGACAAUGGGGGCAAGCCUGAUCCAGCCAUACCGCGUGGGUGAAGAAGGCCUUCGGGUUGGAAAGCCCUUUUGUUGGGAAAGAAAAGCAGCAGGUUAAUACCCCGCUGUUCUGACGGUACCCGGAGAAUAAGCACCGGCUAACUUCGUG